rnacentral:rRNA from 1 species
AAGUCCCAUUAACGAGCGCAACCCCUAUCAUUAGUUGCCAUCAGGUCAAGCUGGGGACUCUAAUGAAACUGCCUACGCAAGUAGUGAGGAAGGUGGGGACGACGUCAAGUCAUCAUGGCCCUUAUGUCCUGGGCUACACACGUGCUACAAUGGCCGGUACAGAGUGAAGCGAAACCGCGAGGUGAAGCAAAACGCAGAAAGCCGGUCUCAGUACGGAUUGGAGUCUGAAACUCGACUUCAUGAAGUUGGAAUCGCUAGUAAUCGCGCAUCAGCAUGGCGCGGUAGAAUACGUUCCGGCCUU